CCCUCGAUAGCUCAGUUGGAAGAGCGUGGGACUGUAAAGGCAAUGCUUACGUAAUCCCGAGGUCACUGGUUCGAUCCCGGUUUGAGGGA